CUAUCUUUGUCGCGCAUCGGUUUGCAACUCUCACAUACGAGGGAAGCGAUUAAAAGGGAAUCAGGUGUAAAUCCUGAACAGUCCCGCUGCUGUAAGUUCCACACAUUACGUUGCGAGCAACCUACUUUUAGCCACUGGAAAGAAACUUCCGGGAAGGCGCCCGCAACAGGAACAAGUCAGAAGACCUGCCGUGCAACCAAUUUCACU
rfam:Bacteroides caccae CAG:21 genomic scaffold, scf117